rnacentral:rRNA from 1 species
UAGGGGAGGAGAAGAAACUAACUAGGGAUGUCCCGUAGUAAAGGCGAUUGAAGUGGACAAAGCCCAAGAUGGAAAUCUUCGUGUUUGGCACGACGAAUUGUAAUCUAGAGAGUCAGGACUCAACGGGUGGUGGCGCAGAAGUGCCCUGGAACGGGCCGCCAAAGAGGGUGACAGCCCCGUCUGUGGUGCCGCCGCCUAACGAGUACGGCUUCAAAGAGUCGGGUUGUUUUGUAUUGCAGCCCUAAGCGGGAGAUAAACUUCUUCUAAGGCUAAAUAUAUGUGGGAAACCGAUAGCGAACAAGUACUGUGAAGGAAAGAUGAAAAGCACUUUGAAAAGAGAGUUAAAAGACCUGAAACCGUUGAGGAGGAAGCGGUAGAGAUGAAUUCUACGGUGAGGCAUGGGGAAGGUAGCUUAACUAUGGCGGGCGAAAGUACGUCAAAGGCAAUCGUUUGUCCAAGGGGAAGCUACUGACUUAUGUGGCAUCGUGAGGCAAGAUGGAGUGAUACCACUGCAGAGGCCUUUUAGGUUUGGCUUGACUUGUCAGGCGGCCUGGGAGUGCUGGUAGAGGUAUGGCUUGAGGGUGCUUAGUGCGAUCUUGUCAAAAUGGUCUUUACCGACUCGUCUUGAAACACGAGCCAAGGAGUCUAACGUACAUGCGAGUAUGCUGGUUCAAAAACCAACAUGCGUAAUGAAAGUAAAAGAUGCCAAGCGCAAGCAGCAGCAUCGACCGACCAUGAUUCUCUGAAGAAAGGUUUGUGUAAGAGCAUGUCCGCUAGGACCCGAAAGAUGGUGAACUAUGCCUGCGUAGGGUGAAGCCAGGGGAAACUCUGGUGGAAGCUCGCAGCGGUACUGACGUGCCAAAUCGCUCGUA